GAAGCUCGCGGGCUGGAGCCUCAGGAUGUGGAUUGGAAAGAGGACUGGGUGGUGAUAAGUGCUGUCUGCUAAAGUUAAAAAAAGAAAAAAAAAAAUCAGUGAAUAAACGUUCUCCACCGACUCUGCCCGCUCGCCCUUUUUCUGCGUGUUCGAUGAAGCUCCUUUACGUGCCUACCAAAAUCGCUAGAAGGUAGAAAGCGAGGAAAAAUACAUUGGGGAUUGAUAAUAAGAAUAUGAGAAUGUCAUCCCCUCUCCCCGGAUCACCACCAGCAAAGAUUCACAACACAACACGCGAGAUUUUUCUUACAAUUCUGAUCAGGUUCUUUCCAUGCUGCUGCCACUGUCUUGGUCAAAACCCACAUUUUCCCUCCACUGGACUUCUGCAGUGGCCUUCCAGAUGGUCUCCCUGCAUGGAUUCAGCAGGCAGGAUUUGAAGCCAAUAUUGAAAAGAUGAAGUUUGGAUGAAGAGCAACACGAGAGGGUAUAAAGCACUGUCACAUUUUUUCAUGGUAGAAAAUAUUUCUUCCUUAUGUUAUUUCUUUAAACAGCUCCUAACAAUAAGUAA